AUUCCAGCUCCAAUAGCGUAUAUUAAAGUUGUUGCAGUUAAAAAGCUCGUAGUUGGAUUUCUGUUUUGAAUUUCCGGUCCGUUCAAUGAAUGUGUACUUGGAAAUUUGAUUCAUUUAUUGUGAGGACCCUUAACUGGCAUUAAGUUGUCUGGUUUUGUGGACUUGCAUCGUUUACUGUGAAAAAAUUAGAGUGUUUAAAGCAGGCGUUCGCUUGAAUACAUUAGCAUGGAAUAAUAAGAUACGACACUGGUGGUCUAUUUUGUUGGUUUGCACACCAGAGUAAUGAUUAAUAGGGACAGUUGGGGGUAUUCGUAUUCCUGUGGAAGAGGUGAAAUUCUUGGAUCACAGGAAGACGAACUACUGCGAAAGCAUUUACCAAGGAUGUUUUCAUUA
rnacentral:rRNA from 1 species